rnacentral:rRNA from 1 species
UACGUAGGGUGCGAGCGUUGUCCGGAAUUACUGGGCGUAAAGAGCUCGUAGGUGGUUUGUCGCGUUGUUCGUGAAAACUCACAGCUUAACUGUGGGCGUGCGGGCGAUACGGGCAGACUGGAGUACUGCAGGGGAGACUGGAAUUCCUGGUGUAGCGGUGGAAUGCGCAGAUAUCAGGAGGAACACCGGUGGCGAAGGCGGGUCUCUGGGCCGAGUAACUGACGCUGAGGAGCGAAAGCGUGGGGAGCGAACAGG